CUUGGAACAAGAAGAUAGGUUUGAAGCUGGUUAACAUAUUUACCAGCAUUACCAGGUGUUUCUGGGCCUAUUUUCUGUGAGGCUGUAAGACACCAAGGAGAAAGGAGUUGACGACUGAAGACAAGGUUGUCAGUGAUUGCUGGGUUCCUGCAAGUGUAGAAUGCAAACAGAGAAGCCACAGCACAGAAGGAAGAGAAUUUCACAAGAUUAUGGACUUUCCUCACUAUAACUUUUUUGGAGUAAGGGGAUUUUCUCUUGUUAUGAUGGUUGCACAGUGAUGAAACUAUCAGAAAUCCAAUUCUCUGGAGGCUUUUCUAGACAGUGCUGUUAUAUGUGAAGUCAUCUGGCAUUCAGGUACAGUCUGGUUUUACUUCUUCAACGCCUUCAGAGACAAA
rnacentral:lncRNA from 1 species